UGGCUCAGGAACCGAACGCUGGCGGCAGGCCUAACACAUGCAAGUCGAACGGUAACAGGAAGCAGCUUGCUUCUUUGCUGACGAGUGGCGGACGGGUGAGUAAUGUCUGGGAAACUGCCUGAUGGAGGGGGAUAACUACUGGAAACGGUAGCUAAUACCGCAUAACGUCGCAAGACCAAAGAGGGGGACCUUCGGGCCUCUUGCCAUCGGAUGUGCCCAGAUGGGAUUAGCUAGUAGGUGGGGUAACGGCUCACCUAGGCGACGAUCCCUAGCUGGUCUGAGAGGAUGACCAGCCACACUGAACUCAGACACGGUCC
rnacentral:rRNA from 1 species